rnacentral:misc_RNA from 1 species
AACUGAUACUACCUGCGGGAACCUGCGGAGGGAUCAUUACCGAGUUUACAACUCCCAAACCUAAUGUGAACGUUACCAAACUGUUGCCUCGGCGGGAUCUCUGCCCCGGGUGCGUCGCAGCCCCGGACCAAGGCGCCCGCCGGAGGACCAACCAAAACUCUUUUGUAUACCCCCUCGCGGGUUUUUUAUAUCUGAGCCAUCUCGGCGCCUCUCGUAGGCGUUUCGAAAAUGAAUCAAAAC